AGCUGCCGGCAGGCUUAAAACAUGUAAAUUCAACGCCCCGCGAGGGGGAUUUCCAGAGGUGGAACAACGCGUGGGAAUCUACAAAUUUUUGGGGAACAAAAAAGGAAAAGGGGGUUUAAUACGGAAUGAGCCCUUGGGGGGAAAGUUUUUCGGUAAUUGGAUGAGCCCGCGUUGAAUAAGUUAGUCGGUGGGUAAAGGCCUUACAAGGGGGAUCGUCCAUAGGGGGUUUGAGAGGAGGUUCAGCCUCCUUGGGGAGGAAACAGGGGGCAGAUUUCUGCGGGAGGCAACAGUGGGAAAUAUUGAACAAGGGGGACAAACGAAAUUCAUCCGAUCCGCAAGAUUGAUAAACAUCGUAGGAUAAAAAGCUAGUUCACCGGCGCAUAUAAUGGCGGUAUCCGGAGAAAAACCCGCGUAUAUACUUGUCACAACAGCCGCUGUAAUGUGGAGGGCGAUAGCGAUGCUCGGAUAUAGUGGGUAUAAAGCGCAUGUAGGCGGACUUAUAUGUCAGGGAUGAAAUCCCGGGUCUCAAGUGGAGAGUCACCUGAGAUACUAGAAGUCGAGAGCUGGAGAGAGGAGAGUGGAAUCACGAGUAUAGAGGUGAAAUUCGUAGAUAUUCACAGGACACCCAGUGGAGAAGGCGGCUCUGUGGCUCGAUACUCACGGAGGGUGGAGAAAGCGUGGGGAGCACACAGGAUUAGAUACCCUGGUAGUCCACGCCGUAAGAUAUGAGAUAUAGCCGUCGGGCAGUAUACUCUUCGGUGGCGCAGCAAACGCAUUAAGCUCUCCGCCUGGGGAGUACGGUCGCAAGAUUAAAACUCAAAGGAAUUGACGGGGGCCCGCACAAGCGGUGGAGCAUGUGGUUUAAUCGAAGCAACGCGCAGAACCUUACCAGACCUUGAAUCCCCGAUCGCGUUACCCAGAGAGUGGUUUCCUUCAUGUUAGGCUGGAUCGUGACAGGUGGCACAUGGCUGUCGUCAGCUCGUGUCGUGAGAUUUUGGGUUAAGUCCCGCAGCGAGCGCACCCUUCGCCUAUAGUUCACCUCAUUCAGGGGCGCACUAUAGGGGGACUCCGGUUGAUAGCCGAGAGGAAGGUGGGGAUGGACGUCAGUCCUUCAUCGCCUUACGGGCUGGGGCUCACACCGUGCACAAUGGUGGUGACAGUGGGGCAGAGAGGCGCGAAGAUCGAAAUAAUAUACAAAAGCCAUCACAUUGGGGAGUGCUCUGUGAAUCUAGAGCGCAAGAAGGGGGAAUCGAUAGUAAUUAGGGAACAGAAUGACGCGGAGAAUACGUUCCGCGGGCCGUGCACACCCCGCGUGUCACACCGAGGGAGUGGGUCUAACCGGAAGGGGCGGAGUAACCAGCAAGGAAGCAGCAAUCGAUGGUUGGUCGAUCGGACC
rnacentral:rRNA from 1 species